UGGGGAAUAUUGGACAAUGGGCGCAAGCCUGAUCCAGCCAUGCCGCGUGAGUGACGAAGGUCUUCGGAUUGUAAAGCUCUUUUACCAGGGACGAUAAUGACGGUACCUGGAGAAUAAGCCCCGGCUAACUUCGUGCCAGCAGCCGCGGUAAUACGAAGGGGGCUAGCGUUGUUCGGAAUUACUGGGCGUAAAGCGCACGUAGGCGGAUUUGUAAGUCAGGGGUGAAAUCCCGGGGCUCAACCUCGGAACUGCCUUUGAUACUGCAAGUCUCGAGUCCGAUAGAGGUGAGUGGAAUUCCUAGUGUAGAGGUGAAAUUCGUAGAUAUUAGGAAGAACACCAGUGGCGAAGGCGGCUCACUGGAUCGGUACUGACGCUGAGGUGCGAAAGCGUGGGGAGCAAACAGGAUUAGAUACCCCAGUAGUCCCUGAG
rnacentral:rRNA from 1 species